UCGAACGGACUCAUAUUGAAACCUAGUGAUGUAUGAGUUAGUGGCGGACGGGUGAGUAACGCGUGGAGAACCUGCCGUAUACUGGGGGAUAACACUUAGAAAUAGGUGCUAAUACCGCAUAAGCGCACAGCUUCGCAUGAAGCAGUGUGAAAAACUCCGGUGGUAUACGAUGGACCCGCGUCUGAUUAGCUUGUUGGCGGGGUAAAGGCCCACCAAGGCGACGAUCAGUAGCCGGCCUGAGAGGGUGAACGGCCACAUUGGGACUGAGACACGGCCCAAACUCCUACGGGAGGCAGCAGUGGGGAAUAUUGCACAAUGGGGGAAACCCUGAUGCAGCGACGCCGCGUGAGUGAAGAAGUAUUUCGGUACGUAAAGCUCUAUCAGCAGGGAAGAAAAUGACGGUACCUGACUAAGAAGCCCCGGCUAACUACGUGCCAGCAGCCGCGGUAAUACGUAGGGGGCAAGCGUUAUCCGGAUUUACUGGGUGUAAAGGGAGCGUAGACGGCAGCGCAAGUCUGGAGUGAAAUCCCAUGGCUUAACCAUGGAACUGCUUUGGAAACUGUGCAGCUGGAGUGCAGGAGAGGUAAGCGGAAUUCCUAGUGUAGCGGUGAAAUGCGUAGAUAUUAGGAGGAACACCAGUGGCGAAGGCGGCUUACUGGACUGUAACUGACGUUGAGGCUCGAAAGCGUGGGGAGCAAACAGGAUUAGAUACCCUGGUAGUCCACGCUGUAAACGAUGAUUACUAGGUGUUGGGGGACC
rnacentral:rRNA from 1 species